rnacentral:rRNA from 1 species
GAUGAACGCUGGCGGCGUGCCUAAUACAUGCAAGUCGAGCGAACAGACGAGGAGCUUGCUCCUCUGACGUUAGCGGCGGACGGGUGAGUAACACGUGGAUAACCUACCUAUAAGACUGGGAUAACUUCGGGAAACCGGAGCUAAUACCGGAGAAAAUAUUAAACCGCAUGGUUCAAUAGUGAAAGACGGUUUUGCUGUCACUUAUAGAUGGAUCCGCGCCGCAUUAGCUAGUUGGUAAGGUAACGGCUUACCAAGGCAACGAUGCGUAGCCGACCUGAGAGGGUGAUCGGCCACACUGGAACUGAGACACGGUCCAGACUCCUACGGGAGGCAGCAGUAGGGAAUCUUCCGCAAUGGGCGAAAGCUUGACGGAGCAACGCCGCGUGAGUGAUGAAGGUCUUCGGAUCGUAAAACUCUGUUAUUAGGGAAGAACAAAUGUGUAAGUAACUAUGCACGUCUUGACGGUACCUAAUCAGAAAGCCACGGCUAACUACGUG